rnacentral:rRNA from 1 species
UACGAAGGGGGCUAGCGUUGCUCGGAAUCACUGGGCGUAAAGCGCACGUAGGCGGAUUCCUAAGUCGGGGGUGAAAUCCUGGAGCUCAACUCCAGAACUGCCUUCGAUACUGGGAAUCUUGAGUCCGGAAGAGGUGAGUGGAACUGCGAGUGUAGAGGUGAAAUUCGUAGAUAUUCGCAAGAACACCAGUGGCGAAGGCGGCUCACUGGUCCGGUACUGACGCUGAGGUGCGAAAGCGUGGGGAGCAACAGG